rnacentral:rRNA from 1 species
GACGAACGCUGGCGGCGUGCCUAAUACAUGCAAGUAGAACGCUGAGGAGAGGAGCUUGCUCUUCUUGGAUGAGUUGCGAACGGGUGAGUAACGCGUAGGUAACCUGCCUUGUAGCGGGGGAUAACUAUUGGAAACGAUAGCUAAUACCGCAUAACAAUGGAUGACACAUGUCAUUUAUUUGAAAGGGGCAAUUGCUCCACUACAAGAUGGACCUGCGUUGUAUUAGCUAGUAGGUGAGGUAAUGGCUCACCUAGGCGACGAUACAUAGCCGACCUGAGAGGGUGAUCGGCCACACUGGGACUGAGACACGGCCCAGACUCCUACGGGAGGCAGCAGUAGGGAAUCUUCGGCAAUGGGGGCAACCCUGACCGAGCAACGCCGCGUGAGUGAAGAAGGUUUUCGGAUCGUAAAGCUCGGUUGUAAGUCAAGAACGGGUGUGAGAGUGGAAAGUUCACACUGUGACGGUAGCUUACCAGAAAGGGACGGCUAACUACGUG